rnacentral:rRNA from 1 species
GAUGAACGCUGGCGGCGUGCCUAAUACAUGCAAGUCGAGCGAACGGACGAGAAGCUUGCUUCUCUGAUGUUAGCGGCGGACGGGUGAGUAACACGUGGAUAACCUACCUAUAAGAUUGGGAUAACUUCGGGAAACCGGAGCUAAUACCGGAUAAUAUUUUGAACCGCAUGGUUCAAAAGUGAAAGACGGUCUUGCUGUCACUUAUAGAUGGAUCCGCGCUGCAUUAGCUAGUUGGUAAGGUAACGGCUUACCAAGGCAACGAUGCAUAGCCGACCUGAGAGGGUGAUCGGCCACACUGGAACUGAGACACGGUCCAGACUCCUACGGGAGGCAGCGGUAGGGAAUCUUCCGCAAUGGGCGAAAGCCUGACGGAGCAACGCCGCGUGAGUGAUGAAGGUCUUCGGAUCGUAAAACUCUGUUAUUAGGGAAGAACAUAUGUGUAAGUAACUGUGCACAUCUUGACGGUACCUAAUCAGAAAGCCACGGCUAACUACGUG